GAUGCUAAUACCGGAUAACAACAGAUGAUGCCUAUCAACUGUUUAAAAGAUGGUUCUGCUAUCACUAUUGGAUGGACCUGCGGUGCAUUAGCUAGUUGGUAGGGUAACGGCCUACCAAGGCGAUGAUGCAUAGCCGAGUUGAGAGACUGAUCGGCCACAUUGGGACUGAGACACGGCACAAACUCCUACGGGAGGCAGCAGCC
rnacentral:rRNA from 1 species